rnacentral:misc_RNA from 1 species
UUAAAUUUGAGCUAAAAGGAAAAGCCACAUCAGGAAGCAAGGUCAAGGCACAGUCUCACGCACAGUUCCCUGUGUCUUCUCUCUCAUCCCUCCUCCAUGAGAAGCAGAAGCUAGGUCCUAGGGUUCCUCUCCCUCCAUCGUACAAAUCUUCCCCAAAUUUACUUUCUUCAAAUCUCACAUUACCCCAACCAAGCCUAUCACUUCCAUGGCCAAAACCAGACCAGGCCUCAUCUCCAAGCCCAAACACGGCAAAAGAGAGCUCGACUCCUCCACCAUUCGCGGCACCAACAAAGUCGUCAAAGUGGGGGAUUGCGUGUUGAUGAGACCAUCGGACACCGGAAAGCCGCCAUACGUGGCGAAAAUUGAGGGAAUCGAGGCGGAUAGCAGAAACAAUGUGAAGGUAAGGGUGAGGUGGUACUAUCGGCCCGAGGAGGCGCUUGGUGGCCGCAGGCAGUUUCACGGUGCCAAGGAGCUCUUCUUAUCUGACCAUUACGAUGUGCAGAGUGCUCACACUAUUGAAGGGAAGUGUACAGUUCACUCUUUUAAGAAUUAUACCAAGCUUGAGAAUGUUGGGGCUGAGGAUUAUUAUUGUAGGUUUGAGUACAAGGCUGCUACGGGAGGCUUCACGCCUGACCGCGUUGCUGUGUGAGUCUUACUCUAUUUUUUUUCGGUUUCUUCAACUUGGCUUCUUUCGUCGGUCUAUUGUUGAUUAAGAUUUAAUCGGUUUUGGCUUUUGUUUUCUUGAAGGUAUUGUAAAUGCGAGAUGCCAUAUAACCCGGAUGAUCUUAUGGUGCAAUGCGAAGGUUGCAAGGACUGGUAUCAUCCUGCUUGUGUGGGCAUGACCAUUGAAGAAGCAAAGAAGUUAGAUCACUUUGUUUGUUCUGAAUGUGGAUCAGAUGAUGAUAUCAAAAGAUCACAGAAUGGAUUUUCUUCGUCACCGGCAGCCGAUGGCAAGGUGAGAUGUUUUUAGGUCCAGUUUCACAUCAUACAAAAAUAUGGGUUUGUUGCCUGUUAUUUAUGUCAUCUCUAUAUGCUUGAUGAAUUAUGUGCUGGUUCCCUGGGAUGAUCUUUAUGCCUCUUGUUGGGAUUUAACAGGUAAAAGAGUACUAAGUUAGACUCUCUUUGGUUACUUUGUGUUUCAUUCUAUUUGCAACAACACAGAUGAUAUUGUCUAUAUGUGAUCCUAACUGAAUUUUUAUUCCUUUGGAAAUAAAAUUAAAUUAUCAAGUUUUUCCAGGGGAUAUAAUAAAGAUUAUAUUUCUCAUAAGGAGCAGCAAACUGGUGCUAUUGAAGAUUAUAAAUUUGGCCGUGCAAAAUGUGUCAUCUUCAUUUAAUUGUUUUUUCUUCAUUUUUAAGACUAACUAUUGUGUUGUAGUACAUUAUGCUGCAGUUGUGCAAAUGCCAGAAGUAGUUAGACACAGAUUCUUCAGUUCAAUUCUGUAGCUGCUUUUCCCCCGUGAAAUCCAGAGUAGUUGAUAAUGUGUUUGGAUCCAUACUUUUAGAAUGAGCUCAUUUGGACCAUUAUUUAUGGAUCUGAAUCCACAUUGUUCAUUGUGUUUUGAUUUUGUUGCUUCUCGGUUGUGCUCUAGUUUUCCUUUCAUUGAGGGAUCACAAGCUUGAAACUGUUGAAAAUAUGAGUUUUUCCAUGAGAGUGUUUGAAUGAAAUGGAGUUCAUUUCAAAUAGGAUUUUGUUUUCACUUAAGGUAUCUGCUGAUGUAUUUUUUCCAUUGUUCUUGUCCCAAAGCAUUUUAGGAAUGCCUUAUGGCUGGAUAUGAUUAAUAGUUAGUGUCUUUGUGUAUCCUAUCUUUCAUUGCAAUGGCUGUUAUUUUAUUACUUCUAUUUCAUUUGCCUGAUGACUUUGUGCCAUGGUUCUGUGUGGACCAGCCAUUUUUGUUCAUCCUUUCUGUUAGCAGUGUUGCUCUUUCAAGCAUUAUUCAUAUUUUUGCUUUGAAUGCACACAGCAGAGUGUUUACAAAAUAUGUAAAUACAUUCCAUGUGUGUGUAUAAAUUGAUUCAUGGAAUGUGUGUUCAUGAAAGAUGACUGUCAGGAUUUCACCUGUCUGAUUUUAAUGUAUUUCAGAUUUGUAGUAUCCUUUUGUAUCCAUAUUUAUGUUUUAUUUAAACCAUUCUGUCCACCAUUUGUUGGUCAUUUGGGAGUUUAGCAUUGACUUUUUUCUUUUACCCUAUGCUCUUUAAUUGCAGUUAGAGACCAAGCGACGGAAGAGAUAGAAUGCAGGUGGGAGAUUAACAAAAUGCAUGGGGAGAUGAGGCUGCUCUUGCAGAUGUAGCUUUAUAAUGUUGUCGUGUGGAAUGUAUAGUGCUGAAAACAAUGGUGUGCUUUGUCCAAACUAUAGGCCAUCAGUAAUUUAUGUGAUUAUCUUGUGGUAUAUGUAGCUAUGCUAGGUUUAGGACAUAAUUCUGUCACCGAUCUAUCCAGAAAAGAAGUUUCAUUUUGCUCAUGGCUCAGAUGUUGAACCUAAUUUUUGGGGACUUUUUUUUUUUCUGGUAUUCACUGUGUGUAAUCUAUUAUAGUAACUCACUAUCUGUUUACACCAGUCUCUCAUAUGAGAAUGAUGAUGUUUAACGCCAGAAUCAUAUGAUGUAUGCAUUGCCCAUGUCUGAGAAGUUUGUUGCAAAUUAUGAGUUUGAGGUUGGAGGGCAACUUUGCUUCUUUGUAUAGUUCAUACGGGUAGACUGUUUUGCACAAGACUGAGAAGGACAAACCGUCCAUUGUGUUACUUUCCCCAUACAGAAGUGAGUGGGAGAUUGUGGACUCUGCUGGGUUUUUCUGUUAAAUUCACUGGCAGGGUAAAAAUUUUCGACCGACUCCAAUACUAUAUUUCAGAGUUAACCGAAGAGAGGAUGUACAAAACUGCCUGAUCACUGGGGAUAUGUACUGUCAUCAAUUUGAAUCCUGAGACACUGAGCUGUUGUAUAUAUAAAUAAACUGUACCCUCCGACAGAUUUGACCUAUUACCAACAAAAAAUGGUGGUCUGGUAGGACUGAUUGACAGCCACUGCAUUUGAUGCUUGAUGCUGAAUAUAUUCCUAUUUUG